rnacentral:lncRNA from 1 species
UCUAGCGGAGGUGUCAUGUUUAGCCUAUUGCUGUCAGAUCUAAGGUGGUGCGACAAUAGCGGGAGACGGACGGUAUGUGACAUAUUUGUCUUCCGUUUUCUCCUUCAGAGGUAUCCGGCUAUCAAGGUGUCGAUAAACGGAUAAGGACGGAUGGUACAAACGGCUUCAACGACGAGUUUACGCAUUCCGGUGGAAACACAAGAUGUCAAUAUUAGCUAUCUGGGGAGGUAUUGUCGCGAGGUAUAUGGCCUCAAGUAUUGUUUUCUGUUUUAUUUCUGGAUCCAUGGUGUUCGGCUGCUGGAUUUUACACUUUUAAUAACAUAUGGUUGCAUGCAUCGUCCUGAUGCAGAGACCGGGAGUUAUCCUUCUUUUUAAAAAA